rnacentral:rRNA from 1 species
UCUUGGUCAUUAGAGGAAGUAAAAGUCGUAACAAGGUUUCCGUAGGUGAACCUGCGGAAGAUCAUUAAAGAACGCCCCGUUUUUUGAAAUGGGUAAUUCCCAAACCGUGCUAUAUACCUUUGUUGCUUUGGCAGGUCGCCUUCUAGGAGGCGUCGGCUCGGCUGACUGCGCCUGCCAGAGGACCCAAACUCGUUUUGUUUAGUGUCGCUGAGUACUAUAUAAUAGUUAAAACUUUCAACAACGGAUCUCUUGGUUCGGCAUCGAUGAAGAACGCAGCGAAAUGCGAUAAGUAAUGUGAAUUGCAGAUUCAGUGAAUCAUCGAAUCUUUGAACGCACAUUGCGCCCCUUGGUAUUCGAGGGGCAUGCCUGUUCGAGCGUCAUUAUAACCACUCAAGUUUCGACUGGUAUUGGGGUUCGCGGUUUCGCGGCCCUUAAAAUCAGUGGCGGUGCCGCUGGCUCUAAGCGUAGUAAUUCUCUCGCUACAGGGUCCGGGUGGUUGCUGCCAGAAUCCCCCACUUUUAUAGGUUGACCUCGGAUCAGGUAGGGAUACCGCUGAACUUAAGCAUAUCAAUAAGCGGAGGA